CUGAAUAUCAAAGAAGUAAAGUAAUUUUACCCAGGAUUUCAUAGCAGUCAGAGCUAGAACUCAAAUCCAGAACUCCUGGCUCCAAGUCCAGUGCUCCAGCCACUGCACCAGAAAAUGUCACUCUCUGAAAAUGAAGUUAGGCCUUGGAUGAGAAGCAUACGGUCCAUUGGAGAUUAGCAGCCAAAACCUUUUCAACUUGAAAUAUGCUUGUUGGGUUGGAUUCAAUUGAAUGGAAUGAAAUCUUGGAACGUAAAAAGCGAGUCCCAAUUAUUGGAGGGACACAGGACAACGGUCAUCCUAAAACAAUACUGAUGAGCUGUGAACCUUUACAACUAUUCUGGAAGAUGGAAAUACUCAUUCCCUGGUGUUUGCCAAAUUCAGAAUAAUAAAAAAAUAUAUAAAUGGUGCUGAAUUUGUGAAAGAGGAAAGUUAAUUGUUUUAAAUCAAAUUCAUACCGUUAAAUGAAGUCUAAAGGAGUUUCUUGUAUAUAAACUUCCUCUUCCUUUGUCUGCUUCCUUCCUGGAUACCCCAAUUCCAAGGACUUUGAAUGAUUCUGACAUUAUUGCACAACAUGGAAUCAAAAGUCGUGAAUAUAUGUUCAUCUCGUGUUAAAAUUUCCUCUGCCUUUGGCAUUACUCUCCACAGAUAUUCCUUGGGAAUUUACAAACAGCAUUCACUACCACAAGAUGUCAGCCAAUUGGGCCCAAUUUCUAAAGAAUAUCGAUCUGUAACACACAAUUUUUUUCUGAUGCUUAGUUUUAUUUAUAUGUAACCAACAGUUGUAUCCUACAUUUUAUAUCAUUUUAAACAGCCGUAAAAUUAAAUUGCAUAUUA